GUCGCUCACGAGGUCGCGCCUCGCACCCGCCUUCCUCCUUUUCUUUUACCCUCCCCUUCAGAAAAAACGGCGGUUGGGCUGCGACGGCCGCCAAAGGCGGACUAGAAGCGGAGGGGUGAAAAUCCCGGCAGAGAAGGAAGAAGGGACUGCAGGCGGGAGGAGGAGGAGGAUAAGGAGGAAGGGAGCCCGCCCAGCCGGAGCCAUCUCCGUCGAGAACAAAAUGGCGGCGCUGGCGGAGGGCCAACUAUAAGGCGGGGCCGCGGCCAUUCCCCCUCCACCCCCACCCUUGCGCCGGCCGGGCCGGUCAGGGGGAACCCGCUCGCUUCGCCCGGCCGCGGGCGGGGAGGGGAGGGGAGCGGCCCGGCCCACUAUGCAAAGCGCCGGGCGCCGCCGCCGCCACCCCGUGGCAAAGAAUAUGCUUUUUGUCUAAUGAUGUUAGAUAAAAAGCAAAUUUGGAGCAGUUUUCUUAUUCGAGUUCAAAAUGGUUCAUAAAGCAGCGAAGACAACUCAAAACAUCAGUAACACAUUUGGCCCAGGAACUGCUAACAAACAUACAGUGCAGUGGUGGCUUAAGAAGUUUUGCAAGGAAGAGAGCCUUGAAGAUGAGGAACGUGAUAUGGGCCAUGGGAAGUUGACAACGACCAAUUGAGAGCAAUCAUUGAACUACAUGAAAAAUUACAGAAGAACUCAGCGUUGACUAUUCUACGGUCAUUAGGGUCGUUCAGCAUUCGAAGCAAAUUGGAAAGGUGAAAAAGCUUGAUAAGUGGGUGCCUCAUGAGCUGAGCGGAAAUCAAAACUAUCGUUUUGAAGUGUAGUCUUCUUUUAUGCUACGCAACAACAAACCAUUUCUCAAUCGGAUUGUGACAUGUAAUGAAAAGUGAAUUUUAUACAACAACCAGCUCAGUGGUUGGACCAAGAGGCAGCUCCAAAGCAGUUCCCAAAGCCAAACUUGCACCAAAAAAAAGGUCAUGGUCACUGUUCGGUGGUCUGCUGCCCAUCUGAUCCACUACAGUUUUCUGAAUCCUGGUGAAACCAUUACAUCUGAGAAGUAUGCUCAGCAAAUUGGUAAGAUGCACCGAAAACUGCAAUACCUGCUGCCUGCAUUGGUCAACAGAAAGGGCCCAAUUCUUCUCCACGACAACACCUGACUGCGUGUCGCACAACCAGUGCUUCAAAAGUUGAAGGAAUUGGGCUACAAAGUUUUGCCUCAUCCACCAUAUUCACCUGACCUUUCGCCAACUGACUACCACUUCUGCUAGCAUCUUGACAACUUUUUGCAGGGAAAACACUUCAGCAUGGUGCAGAAAAUGCUUUCCAAGAGUUCGUCAAAUCCUGAAGCACGGAUUUUUAUGCUACAGGAAUAAACAAACAUUUCUCAUUGGCAAAAAUGUGUUGAUUGUAAUGGUUCCUGUUUUGAUUAAUAGAAUAUGUUUUAGCGUAGUUACAAUGAUUUAAAAUUCGCAGUCUGGAAAUUUAAUUUUUGCAUCAACCUAAUAUUUCUAUGGUAAAUCCUUGCAAACAUGGAAACAAUGCAUUUGGCCCAGUGCUUUGUGGUUGUGUACUCUUUUUCUUUGUUUUUUUAAUAGAUGGCAUUGGCCGGGCAUGGUGGCUCAUGCCUGUAAUCCCAGCAUUUUGGGAAGGUGAGGUGGGUGGAUCACCUGAGGUCAGGAGUUCAAGACCAGCCUGACUAACAUGGUAAAACCCCAUCUCUACUAAAAAUACAAAAAAAUUAGCUAGGCGGGGUGGCGGGCAUCUAAUUCCAGCUACUUCAUGAGGCUGCGACAGGAGAAUCAUUUGAACUCGGGAGGCAGAGGUUGCAGUGAGCCGAGAUCACACCAUUGCACUCCAGCCUGGGCGAUGAGCGAAACUGUCUCAAAAAAAAAAAAAGUUGGGGUCUCGCUGUGUUGACCAGGCUGGUCUCGAACUCCUGGCCUCAAGUGAUCCUCCCAUCUUGGCCUCCCAAAGUGUUAGGAUUACAGGCGUGAGCCACCACACCCUGCCUGGUUGUGUACUCUUUUAAAUACUAAGUUUUUAAUGUUAAAUGCUGCUUUUAGAUACACUGUAAAAAUACACCUAUCAAUGAGUUUUUUUAUUAAAAACAUUGCAAUUGUACUAGACUUUAAAUACUAAGCAAUAAUUCAGGCUUCAAUGUUGGUUUAUAGUUUUCUCAUUUCUUUCAUUUAAUACCUCUGUAAAAUGAAGCAGUUACUUCCAUUUUCCUGAGGUGAGAUAAGUGCCCUGCACAAUGUUAUAGGCCCAGUAAGUGAGACUGGAGCUCUGAUCUAAUCCCUUUGACAUUAAAGUUUGUGCAGUAAACCAGCUAUGUCAGUUUGCCACAUUUGUAAUAGUGUUCAAUAAAUUUUCACUUAAAGGUUUAAUAUUAAAGUAGUAGCAAGAAUUCAUAACCUUAAUUGGCUUUAACAGCUUUUCUUUCCCUGAAAACAGAUGCAUAUGUACACAUGCACACAGAUUGCUUACAAUAUCAGCACGUAAAAGGCCUUUGCACAUUGAAGUCGGCACUGCUUUGGUGCCUUUUUUGUUUUUUGGCUCGGUGUUUUGACUGCAAGUCUUUUUGGAUAGAAUUUUAUAGUUAGAAAGUAGCUAACACUUGGGUUUUAUAGGCACAAAAAACAAGUCUUAUACUAGCUGUACUUUAUUUUUUGAGUUCUUAUUAAUGAGGAACAUCCACUUUUGCAUUGACAGUGAUUUCAAGAUUGCUUUAUCAGCCUUUAAAGGAUUCUUGACUAGUCGUGCACAUCAGAACUGCCAGGUCCCCAGUGGUUCUGAAGCAGUAAGCUUUGGGUGGGCUCUGGCAUCAGCACUUUCACUAAGCUUCACAGAUAAUUCUGAUGCAUACUCCAGGCCUGAACCACUGAUCAAUUUGAAACAUGCAUAACAAAGCAAAAAAAGUUUUGUUUCACCUUUUGAAAUACAGUUAACUCUUUUACCAUGCCAGAGAUCAUUCAGAGAGACAGGUCGUUGCUCCGGAGUGAUACAGAUCUGGCAGUACCCAGCCCUUGUGUGUGUGCGUUAGCUCAGCACCUGCCCACACUGCGAGCCCCCGUAGGAUGUGCCUUGUCCUUCCCUGUUUCAGCACUUAACACACUACCUGGUACAGAGUAUGUAGUGGGCAUCUGUUGAAUGAAUGCUUUUCCCAGUAGCAGUGUAUUCAUACAAUAUUAAUAUAAUUGUCCCCUGGCUUACAGAUAAAAAUGAAAGCAUCAAGUGCCCAGUGAGUGAGACCCAGGUGUUCUUCCUCCACCCCUAGUGGUCCCCUGGGCAGGUCUUUUUUUUUUUGUAACACUCACCAGUCUGUUCUGUAGUCAAUCAUUGAUUGACUUGUCUGUGAACUUGGAGGAACUGUUUCAUAGUUUCAUUAGCACAGAGUAAACAUGUUUGCCAUGCAAGGUUAUUUUGCAUCUGCAUUUAAGUGAUAAUGUUGAAUCAAUGAAAAGUGUUGAUUAAGCAGUAGUUGUAGAUAUGCUAAGUUUUUCAAAUUACUAAUAUCAAGUGGAGAUUGUUUUUACUUUUAAGGGUAUUGCUUUUGUGAUAGCAUAAAUAAUGGUUUUCCUUUUUUGUAAUGUAAAUUAAUUGCUGGCAACUUUUGUAUUCCCAUAGACUGGGGAAGCUUAAUUGCCUUUACAAGUACUUAUGUACAACUUUGUAUCAAAUUUUCUGUAAUAGUUUAUGCUUUAGUACUAUAUAUGUACUAAUAAUUUUAUCUGACUUCUGUUUAUAUCAUUUGUACAAUUACAUGGUUGUAAAAUAAA
rnacentral:lncRNA from 1 species